UACGUAGGUGGCGAGCGUUGUCCGGAAUUACUGGGUGUAAAGGGUGCGUAGGCGGCUAAUUAAGUUAGUUGUGAAAACCUUAGGCUCAACUUAAGGAGUGCAACUAAAACUGGGUAGCUAGAGUGCAGGAGAGGAUGACGGAAUUCCCGGAGUAGCGGUGAAAUGCGUAGAUAUCGGGAGGAACACCAGUGGCGAAGGCGGUCAUCUGGACUGUAACUGACGCUGAGGCACGAAAGCGUGGGGAGCAAACAGG
rnacentral:rRNA from 1 species